UACGUAGGGAGCAAGCGUUAUCCGGAUUUAUUGGGCGUAAAGCGCGCGUAGGCGGCUUGUUAAGCAAGAUCUCAAAUCUGGGGGCUCAACCUCCAGCCGGAUUUUGAACUGGCAGGCUCGAGUUUGGUAGAGGAAAGUGGAAUUCCCAGUGUAGCGGUGAAAUGCGCAGAUAUUGGGAAGAACACCGAUGGCGAAGGCAGCUUUCUGGGCCAUAACUGACGCUGAGGUGCGAAAGCUAGGGGAGCAAACAGG
rnacentral:rRNA from 2 species